CCUGGCUCAGGACGAACGCUGGCGGCGUGCCUAACACAUGCAAGUCGAACGGAGUAAAGCCCUUCGGGACUUUACUUAGUGGCGAACGGGUGAGUAACGCGUGAGGAACCUGCCUUUCAGUGGGGGACAACAGUUGGAAACGACUGCUAAUACCGCAUGACACUUUUGGGAGACAUCUCCUGGAAGUCAAAGCUUUAUGUGCUGAAAGAUGGCCUCGCGUCUGAUUAGCUAGUUGGUGAGGUAACGGCUCACCAAGGCGACGAUCAGUAGCCGGUCUGAGAGGAUGAACGGCCACAUUGGGACUGAGAUACGGCCCAGACUCCUACGGGAGGCAGCAGUGGGGAAUAUUGGGCAAUGGGGGAAACCCUGACCCAGCAACGCCGCGUGAAGGAAGAAGGCCUUCGGGUUGUAAACUUCUUUUACCAGGGACGAAGGACGUGACGGUACCUGGAGAAAAAGCCACGGCUAACUACGUGCCAGCAGCCGCGGUAAUACGUAGGUGGCAAGCGUUGUCCGGAUUUACUGGGUGUAAAGGGCGUGUAGGCGGAGAUGCAAGUUGGGAGUGAAAUCCAUGGGCUCAACCCAUGAACUGCUCUCAAAACUGUAUCCCUUGAGUAUCGGAGAGGCAAGCGGAAUUCCUAGUGUAGCGGUGAAAUGCGUAGAUAUUAGGAGGAACACCAGUGGCGAAGGCGGCUUGCUGGACGACAACUGACGCUGAGGCGCGAAAGCGUGGGGAGCAAACAGGAUUAGAUACCCUGGUAGUCCACGCUGUAAACGAUGAAUACUAGGUGUGGGGGGACUGACCCCUUCCGUGCCGCAGUUAACACAAUAAGUAUUCCACCUGGGGAGUACGACCGCAAGGUUGAAACUCAAAGGAAUUGACGGGGGCCCGCACAAGCAGUGGAUUAUGUGGUUUAAUUCGACGCAACGCGAAGAACCUUACCAGGAUUUGACAUCCAACUAACGAAGUAGAGAUACAUUAGGUGCCCUUCGGGGAAAGUUGAGACAGGUGGUGCAUGGUUGUCGUCAGCU
rnacentral:rRNA from 1 species